GCAAUGCAGAGUGGCAGACGGGUGAGUAACGCGUGGGAACCUUCCCUAUGGUUCGGAAUAGCUCAGGGAAACCUGGGGUAAUACCGAAUAAGCCCUUCGGGGGAAAGAUUUAUCGCCAUUGGAUGGGCCCGCGUAGGAUUAGCUAGUUGGUGAGGUAAUGGCUCACCAAGGCGACGAUCCUUAGCUGGUCUGAGAGGAUGAUCAGCCACACUGGGACUGAGACACGGCCCAGACUCCUACGGGAGGCAGCAGUGGGGAAUAUUGGACAAUGGGCGAAAGCCUGAUCCAGCCAUGCCGCGUGAGUGACGAAGGCCUUAGGGUUGUAAAGCUCUUUUGGCGGGGAAGAUCAUGACGGUACCCGCAGAAUACGCUCCGGCUAACUUUCGUGCCAGCAGCCGCGGUAAUAC
rnacentral:rRNA from 1 species